CUCGUAGGCGGUUUGUCGCGUCGGGAGUGAAAACCUCGGGCUUAACUCGGGGCUUGCUUUCGAUACGGGCAGACUGGAGGUAUGCAGGGGAGAACGGAAUUCCUGGUGUAGCGGUGAAAUGCGCAGAUAUCAGGAGGAACACCGGUGGCGAAGGCGGUUCUCUGGGCAUUACCUGACGCUGAGGAGCGAAAGUGUGGGGAGCGAACA
rnacentral:rRNA from 1 species